rnacentral:rRNA from 1 species
AACUGUAUGACUGGUGUGAGUGUGAGGUAGGCGGAAUGCGUUGUGUAGCGGUGAAAUGCAUAGAUAUGACGCAGAACUCCGAUUGCGAAGGCAGCUUACCAACACUUUACGGACGCUGAGGCACGAAAGCGUGGGUAUCGAACAGGAUUAGAUACCCUGGUAGUCCACGCAGUAAACGAUGAAUACUAAUUGUUCGGGGGGCAACCCCUGAGUGAUACAGCGAAAGCGUUAAGUAUUCCACCUGGGGAGUACGCCGGCAACGGUGAAACUCAAAGGAAUUGACGGGGGCCCGCACAAGCGGAGGAACAUGUGGUUUAAUUCGAUGAUACGCGAGGAACCUUACCCGGGCUCAAACGUUGGGGGAAUGCUCCUGAAAGGGAGCAGCCAGCAAUGGUCGCCAACGAGGUGCUGCAUGGUUGUCGUCAGCUCGUGCCGUGAGGUGUCGGCUUAAGUGCCAUAACGAGCGCAACCCCUGCGUCCAGUUACCAUCAAGUCAUGUUGGGGACUCUGGACGGACUGCCGGCGCAAGCCGUGAGGAAGGCGGGGAUGACGUCAAAUCAGCACGGCCCUUACGUCCGGGGCGACACACGUGUUACAAUGGCGUGGAACAGCGGGAAGCCACCUGGCGACAGGGAGCGGACCCCUAAAACACGUCUCAGUUCGGAUUGGAGUCUGCAACUCGACUCCAUGAAGCUGGAUUCGCUAGUAAUCGCGCAUCAGCCAUGGCGCGGUGAAUACGUUCCCGGGCCUUGUACACACCGCCCGUCAAGCCAUGGGAGCCGGGNNNNNNNNAAGUACGUAACCGGAAGGAGCGUCCAAGGGUAACACUGGUGACUGGGGCAAAGUCGUAACAAGGUAACCA